rnacentral:rRNA from 1 species
CAGCCGUAAACUAUGCUCGCUAGGUGUCAGGCAGUGGCGCGACCGGGUGUCGUGGUGCCGCAGGGAAGCCGUGAAGCGAGCCACCUGGGAAGUACGGCCGCAAGGCUGAAACUUAAAGGAAUUGGCGGGGGAGCACAACAACGGGUGGAGCCUGCGGUUUAAUUGGACUCAACGCCGGACAACUCACCGGGAACGACAGCAAUAUGUAGGCCAGGCUGAAGACCUUGCCUGAAUCGCUGAGAGGAGGUGCAUGGCGUAGACGUCU